rnacentral:rRNA from 1 species
GACGAACGCUGGCGGCGUGCCUAAUACAUGCAAGUAGAACGCUGAAGGAGGAGCUUGCUUCUCCGGAUGAGUUGCGAACGGGUGAGUAACGCGUAGGUAACCUGCCUGGUAGCGGGGGAUAACUAUUGGAAACGAUAGCUAAUACCGCAUAACAGUAGAUAUUGCAUGAUAUCUGCUUGAAAGGUGCAAUUGCAUCACUACCAGAUGGACCUGCGUUGUAUUAGCUAGUUGGUGAGGUAACGGCUCACCAAGGCAACGAUACAUAGCCGACCUGAGAGGGUGAUCGGCCACACUGGGACUGAGACACGGCCCAGACUCCUACGGGAGGCAGCAGUAGGGAAUCUUCGGCAAUGGACGGAAGUCUGACCGAGCAACGCCGCGUGAGUGAAGAAGGUUUUCGGAUCGUAAAGCUCUGUUGUAAGAGAAGAACGAGUGUGAGAGUGGAAAGUUUACACUGUGACGGUAUCUUACCAGAAAGGGACGGCUAACUACGUGCCAGCAGCCGCGGUAAUACGUAGGUCCCGAGCGUUGUCCGGAUUUAUUGGGCGUAAAGCGAGCGCAGGCGGUUAGAUAAGUCUGAAGUUAAAGGCUGUGGCUUAACCAUAGUACGCUUUGGAAACUGUUUAACUUGAGUGCAAGAGGGGAGAGUGGAAUUCCAUGUGUAGCGGUGAAAUGCGUAGAUAUAUGGAGGAACACCGGUGGCGAAAGCGGCUCUCUGGCUUGUAACUGACGCUGAGGCUCGAAAGCGUGGGGAGCAAACAGG